ACUGUUCAAUCAUCCCUCAUUUCUCACAAAAUACUUCUAAUCUCACAAAAAAUACUUCUUGUGUAAAUAGAACAAUCACUUAAGAAGUUAAGUACAUGAAACUACAAAUUUAGAACAUCAAUGAUAAAUUUCAGCAAAGAAAUAUAACACUAAAGGUUCUAAAACAUCAUUAUAUGGAGUCUAACUUUAACAAAGACUAUGAGUGCACAUAACAAUAAAUAAGGGCAAAGUUACAUCAACAACUAGAUGCACAAGAAGGAUUAGAAGAUAACAAACUCAAACUUCAGCAAUAACCAUAAGAUCUACUCCUUACAACGAGAAAGACUUCAAAGUACUUCAAAACUCACAAGUAAAGGUGAGUGGACCCAUAACCUAUUAAGAAAACAAGUACUUAGAAGAUACAACACUUAGCAUCAGCAAAGUUGCAUACAAAGAGAGUAUGGAGUAAGAUAUCUCUCACU
rnacentral:lncRNA from 1 species